rnacentral:rRNA from 1 species
UACGUAGGUGGCAAGCGUUGUCCGGAAUUAUUGGGCGUAAAGGGCGCGUAGGCGGUCGUGUGCGUCGGAGGUGAAAUCCCCGGGCUUAACCCGGGAGCUGCCUCCGAUACGGCACGGCUUGAGUCCGGGAGAGGGGAGCAGAAUUCCCAGUGUAGCGGUGAAAUGCGUAGAUAUUCGCAAGAACACCAGUGGCGAAGGCGGCUCACUGGCCCGGUACUGACGCUGAGGUGCGAAAGCGUGGGGAGCAAACAGG